CCAAUUCAAGAACUGAACAACCACAUUUUAAAAUGUUUCAGCCUGAGGAUGGUCUGGGAUGCUGUGUCCUUCUCCAGGGUCACACAGAACAGGCAUGCCCUUUCCAAAAAACCUACGUCAUGUUCAUAGAUUUUGAAUCUGCAAGUUCCUGAAGCUUCAGCAGGAGUCAACAAGUGUCCAGAGCACUGGGAAAUAGUCUGCAGAGAGUCAACAGUUUGCAGGACCAGGCUGCAUCCCUCUGUGUAUGAGAAUCCCUCCCGCUUUUCCUGCCUUCUGAGCUGUUCAUCACCUGACAUCGACUUCUCCUGUCAUUAUUCUUGCACUCUCCAUGACAUUUCAUAGCUAAGAACAAACGCCUCCGGAAAGCUUUGGGAUUUGGGAAGAGCAGGAGGGUUCAGCAUAAGGGAGGAGCAUUUACCCUUCCUGGAGUAAACUGAAGAAGCCCUUUUGAAAGGAAUGGGCUGCAGGGAAGAGUGAAAAACACAGGGACACACAUGUGUCCCCAAGGGGCUGAUCCUGCCCCUCACUGAAGGCUGUUAGCUGUGACCAUACCUCGUCCUCAUAGACCACGAGCUGUGUUUUCCGUAGCUGGAUGUAACGAUCCUUCCACAAUCCCAGGAGACCCCCACUGCUUUUCUUAAUCCAGCCAUAUUUCUCUGCAGUUGGAGCAGACUUGGGUUUCUCUGACACCUCCUCCUUUGUAUCCUGCAAGGAGAGAAGGGAGAGGGAAUUAUAUUCAAAGUACUUUUCAUGAUGAGAAAGCCUUCCCAGAGAAGAUCUCGGCACCCACCAAACGUGGUCCCUCCCUACCACAUCACAAGGGAAAAGACUGGCAUCUUCCAGAGGAAGACUCAGCCAGCUCCCACAGGACUGGAGAGUGGGCACAGACCCCAGCCACCCCUGGGGACACUGCUGGGAUGGCAGCAAGUCCACCUUGGACUCCCUCCUCUGUGCAGGUACUCCCUGCUCACUUGUGCACCAAGUGCACCUUGUGCACCUUGAAAAUGAGCACCCUCCUCUCCUCUUUGCUUCUCCACCUCUCUGAUGAAUCCCAGCAGCAUGGAUCCUGCUGGCAUCAGUAGCAACACUCAUAUUUUAGCUCAAGGCCACUUCUGCAAGUUUCUCUUCUGGGUCUACAUUUGGUCACCGUGCCCAAAACAACUCCCAUGGGCAAAUCCACAGCAUGAGGGCCAGGACUUCAUCCCAUCUGCACUAAAAUGUUCCUGGCAGGCUCCUGCGUGGGAAGGACUGGCAGAGAAGGCAGCACCAAGAGUGGGGGUGGUUUUUUUGUCCUCCCUUUAGCUCCUUGCUGUUUGUCACAGCCUGCUCUAGCCUGCCUGCAGCAGCACGGAGAGCUCCACUGUCCUGCGCUGGAAUGCUGCUGGCGUUCCAGGUCUGGUAAAAACCAGGAGACGCAGAACUUCCCUGCAUUGAAGAAACCAUCAGAAAAAUCCAGUAUCAACAUUCUCGUCAAACAGAGACAGGAAACCUAAGACAGGGAGCAGGUGCAGCUGGGCUUAUUAGCUGAUGCCUUCACCAGCAGACUAGUUAAAGAUGAGAGCUUUUCUCCUCUCCAGUGUGCUGGAAGAGCCUUUGCAGAGGCAGGAUCCCCAUAUCCCCUCCCUUGGAGCCCCCUGCUUCUUCCAACAUCCCAUGGACCUCUCAAUAAGCCUCUUUCCCUCAGCAAGGUGAGGGGAAUCCCUCACUGAGCCAAAUCCCCGUACACAAACACCUUGCCAACCUUGUGACUUGUCAGGAGAGGCCAAGCCCAAAUCCUCCAGCCUCCUCCCAGGAACCCCACUGUCCCCCAGACUCAGUUUCCUCCAUGUCUUCACCUCUAAUAGCAGCAAUCCUGCUGCAGAAAGCCGGCACACAAAAAGAGGAUGAGUGACAAAGGAGAGUCCCAGACAUGCCAAAAUGGCCCUCACUGCACAAGCUGGACUGGCUGGAGCUCAGACAUCAUGUUUGAUAACACAAGGAAAUCCUACAUGAAUGGAAAGGAGUUGGAGCUGGACACUCCUAUGGCCAGGACAGAGAGAGCAGAGACAGAUGAGCUCGAAAAAUUCAGAGGAGAGCCUUGCUGAUGAAUCUGUUUCCAUGCACCAGACUCCCAGUGAACACACCCUUGGACAGCAGCUGCCAUCGGGCUAAACUGUUAUUCCAAAGUGGGAGCUUGCACCCAUAAAAAUACGAAAACCAGCUUAAAUACACCAUGCACCCACAUUUAUUCUGAUCCCUGCUAAGGUCAGGAACAGGCUGGGCUUUGCAGGUAGGCUCAGGUGCAGACUGGGAACAAGAAACUCAAACAAACCCUGUUUCACCUAAAAGAAAACCAGGCCAAGACCUGUAACAUCCUUGUUGUGUUUUGCAGAAGUUAUUUCGAUUGUACUGAGCCAUGUCUGAAAAGGCCACAAUACAGGAUGACUGAGCACCAAAAAGUUUUCCGGGAAGCAAGGGGGGACUGUGUGGUGUGGGUUUUUUUUAAACUUGACUUUUUAGGUUGCCAGGAAGUUGUAUUCAGUUGAGAUCUGCGACUUCAGCAAACAUCAAUUCCUGCACAAAUAUAGACCUGCUGGUUUCCUGAUCGAGCACCCUUUUGAUGUCAUUUUUAGAUAAUUGGGCAUGGACUUUAACCUCCCUUGUAGCAGUUUUGAAUGGAUGUAGCUGUAUGAAGAGUUUAUUUCAGUGAGUCCAGACCAACAAUCAACAAAAUGCUUUUACUCUUUAAGGCUUUUCUUGCUUGGCAGAUAAAUUUUUGCUGUUCUUUUCCCCUACCUGGCAGAAAGGCUGAAAUCACAUGGUAAAUAUGUCUAUCCAUGCUCUGCUCUGCAGAAUGAAAACUGCUCUGGUCUUAAAAUAAAAGUACUCCUGUGAAGAUACUGCACAUACCAUCUACCUCUGAAAAGCAACCCAUCCCAGUAGAGCUGGGGUUCAUGCUGACACCUCUGCAUGAGGCUGAGCUGGUUUGGGGUCUGGCUCACCAGCUCUCCAGCCUUCCAGGGACAGCACCUCCCCUCCAUGGCAUGGAAGGGUGGCCUUGGAGCUCACCCUCUCCCCAGGCCACUCCAGAGCCCUGGCUGGAGCCACCUGUCUAAAUGGAGCCAUGCGUGGGGCUCCCCCGACACCGGACAGGACUUCCCGCUAUGCCAGGACCUGGGAGCAUCCACAUGGAGGAUCCAUGACUUCAAGCCCCACCUGAGCAGCCCAGGGGAGGGAAGGUGAGAUGGGAUGCAGAGUGCUGGUCUCAGCAGAUGACAGGGCAUCUGCUGAGAAGCAAAGGGAUCUGUCCCUGUCACUGUGCAGGAGUCACCUGAGCCUGAGCUGCCUCCUCCAGUCCCCCCUGUCAGGCAGAAGUGAGGGGUGUGAUUCUGCACUCCAGGGGGCUGCUGAGCUGCAGGGCUCUGGGUCAGCAGCUUUCCACUCACACACCCAGCACAUCCCCAGAGGGGGGGGCAGGUGCUGUAAUCUGUCAUCUGCAUCUUAAGGAUGUAAAAAAAUUGUGGAUGCAACUUGGCUAUUUGUUCCUGUGAAAGCAAGAAGAGUCCUGGAGACGGUUGCCUGACAUUUUUUGCAAUUAUUUUUAUGCCACCCUUACCCUGAACCAGCGAGGGGAGGUUGGCUCCACCAAGAUCAGGACAUUGAGUCCAUCCUGCCCUCUCUGCUUGCAAUUCCACAACUAAAACAGGAGCAUGGCACAAAGACAUCAGUUGCUGUUGUUAACUCAGCUAUAUGUGAGCAUUCUGCAAGAAACACUAACAUAUCCUUCCUGGGAUGUUCUUGGGCUGGAUUCAUUCCUGACGCUGCAGUAAAUCCAUGAGAAGAACCCCCCUGACAUCGGCCAAGCAAGCCAGAGUAAAUGAAGGAAGAACUGAGUUAUCCCAGUGCUGGAUCAUGCCAAAGGCAUUGCUCCUAAAACCAAUCCAUAACCAAGCCAUUUUUGCAUCUUAUAUCACGGUGGCAUUAGAAGUGAAACACAAGUUCCACUCUUCCAGCUUGGUUUAGCCUCACAUUUCGCAGCUCAGCAGAGAUCCCAAAUCAGGGGGAUAGGAUGGCUUUUUAUUUAACUAUCAGGCAGUUCUUUCUCCCCUCUCUGCCCUGUAUUUUGCAGGCCCACAAACCCACAUAACUCUUCAUGUCUUCCAACAAAAAAAACCCCAAGAGUUGGACUACGGUGGUACUUCUAAAGUUACACACAGUGCACAGAAGUGCCUUAGCCACUUACAGCAACUUCAUUAAAGCAAGCACCUCACUUACCACACAGUCCUCUCUAGCAAGGAGCAAAUGAACAUCCCCCGGGAGACAAUCCGCAUCCCCACACCUCUACUCUUUUCCUCCCUUUCCAUUUUAUCUUCCAAACCUGGCUCUUAUCACUUCCACUUCUCCCCGGCUCACAGGAGCAAAACUGUCUCACUAGAAAUGAACUGCUCAGAUCCACGUGGAACUUGGGGAACUGCAUCUGACACCUCCUUCCGCAAGUGCUCCCUGGAGGAUCCACAUAUUGGUAACGAAGAGCGGCCGGUGAGACCCUCGGUGGAUGCUGGGGUGGGUGUGAAGCCCCUUUGGCCGGUGGUCACCAGCUGGAAGCAGUUUCUCUGCCAUGGAUUAAUUUCAUGGAUGCCAGUGGAUAAUAACAGCUCUCAGCCACUACCAACCUGGGCUGCUUUGUUGUCUCCCUGCUGUUUUAAAAGAGCUUUCAUUCUUGCCACAGAAUGUUUGGAGCUGAAAUAAGGGGGUGUGAGGGGGAGAGACAACCCACAGCUACCGGGAUCGCAUGUGCCAGAGCCUGAAGUCCUCGGGCAGUCUGUACUACCAGGAGCGAGCUUUGUGCAUGACCAGCAAAACCUCAUUCAAGGAAAGGAAGCAGGAAUAAUUGCGUGGCCAGACGAGGGGAGAAAACGACCUGUUUAACUUGCUAACCAAUUUGUGGCAUCUUAAUCAAUCCGCACAGGGAUGGAUCACUGGGGUGUCAUCCGAUGGAUGUGAAAAACUACGUGUGCAGGAGAAGCACUGCUGCCCUUCUCCGAGUUAACCCCGUCCCAAAGAGAGGAGAAGAACAGAAGUGGGGAAGGCUGGAGGUGCGUAGACAUGUCCAAGCCGGCUGUCUGACCCAGGCCCGGCUCCAGCAGGGCAGGACAACACCCCAGCGGGAAUCACACGGGAUGGCCCGAGCACGCGUGGAACCAGUGCCCGCCGAGCCCGGCAGCCCCUCCCCGGCCGGCCCGGUCCAACAUCCCGAGGGCUGAGGGGAUGCGCUGCCGAGGCUCUGCCCGAGCCGCUC